AGUGAACGCUGGCGGUAGGCCUAACACAUGCAAGUCAAACGGCGGCACAGGAGAGCUUGCUCUCUGGGUGGCGAGUGGCGGACGGGUGAGGAAUACAUCGGAAUCUACUUUUUCGUGGGGGAUAACGUAGGGAAACUUACGCUAAUACCGCAUACGACCUACGGGUGAAAGCAGGGGACCUUCGGGCCUUGCGCGAUUGAAUGAGCCGAUGUCGGAUUAGCUAGUUGGCGGGGUAAAGGCCCACCAAGGCGACGAUCCGUAGCUGGUCUGAGAGGAUGAUCAGCCACACUGGAACUGAGACACGGUCCAGACUCCUACGGGAGGCAGCAGUGGGGAAUAUUGGACAAUGGGCGCAAGCCUGAUCCAGCCAUACCGCGUGGGUGAAGAAGGCCUUCGGGUUGUAAAGCCCUUUUGUUGGGAAAGAAAUCCAGCUGGCUAAUACCCGGUUGGGAUGACGGUACCCAAAGAGUAAGCACCGGCUAACUUCGUGCCAGCCGCCGCUGUAA
rnacentral:rRNA from 1 species